GAGUUCAUAUCUCAAUGGAGGUUCAUAGGGCACUAGCCUCCUAAGUUAGUAAUCCCCGGUUCAAAUCCGGGCGGGCCCGCCA
rnacentral:tRNA from 1 species